GUGAAUUGUUUGGGGGAACUC
rnacentral:miRNA from 1 species